GACGAACGCUGGCGGCGUGCUUAACACAUGCAAGUCGAGCGGAAAGGCCCUUCGGGGUCCUCGAGCGGCGAACGGGUGAGUAACACGUGAGUAACCUGCCCCAGACUUUGGGAUAACCCUCGGAAACGGGGGCUAAUACCGGAUACGACACAGCUUCGCAUGGGGUCUGUGUGGAAAGUUUUUCGGUUUGGGAUGGGCUCGCGGCCUAUCAGCUUGUUGGUGGGGUGAUGGCCUACCAAGGCGACGACGGGUAGCCGGCCUGAGAGGGCGACCGGCCACACUGGGACUGAGACACGGCCCAGACUCCUACGGGAGGCAGCAGUGGGGAAUAUUGCACAAUGGGCGGAAGCCUGAUGCAGCGACGCCGCGUGAGGGAUGACGGCCUUCGGGUUGUAAACCUCUUUCAGCAGGGACGAAGCGUAAGUGACGGCACCUGCAGAAGAAGCGCCGGCCAACUACGUG
rnacentral:rRNA from 1 species